CUAAUGUCUUGUAAUUGGAAUGAUGGUGACCCACACCCUCACCAGAGUAGCAAUUGGAGGGCAAGUCUGGUGCCGCAGCCGCGGUAAUUCCAGCUCCAAUAGCGUAUAUUAAACUUGUUGCAGUUAAAAAGCUCGUAGUUGAAUUUUAGCUGUUCGAGUUUGCCAUUCGUUUGGCUUUUUCGAGUUCGCUUUUGGGUUUUCCCUUUUUACUUUGAGAAAAUUAGAUGUUUCAAGCAGACUUUUGUCUUGAAUACUUCAGCAUGGAAUAAUAGAGUAGGA
rnacentral:rRNA from 1 species